GCACCGGUAGCUCAACUGGAUAGAGCACCAGCCUACGAAGCUGGGGGUUACAAGUUCGACUCUUGUCCGGUGCACAA
rnacentral:tRNA from 1 species